AGGGUGAGGACUAGGCGGUCUUUGUGAUUCCUGGGAGAAGGGGCCACUGUAGCGGAUCCACGCAUUACUGCCUAACCGGUCAGAAAAACGAAGUGAGAGGUUGGACGACUGUGAUGCCAACUGCAGGGGAGCAGUUUGGGCGUUUGGCAAGCUUCAUCUGGGGAUGGAAGGACAGCACAUGCUGAUGAGCACCCACUGAAAGCAUAGAGUUGAAGGCCAAGUGAUGCGAAGUCAGGUGAUCAAAAGACGGUUGGAGGAGGGGCUAAGAAUAAUGAACGGGUACCAUGGAGACUGAGGGUGGCCAACUUCCUGUUCAACCGCCAACGAGAAACCACGGAACCCAACGGACGGCACGGGACUUGGGAGGGCCAGGGGGAGCUGACCCCGUCAGUUAGGGACGGGCGUAUGCAAAUGAGAGAGUGCGUUGAAACUGCCCCCCAUUUAAACGGCCUGCGCUUAGUCCCCGGACCUGCCGGCGGCCAUUUGCCGAGCCCUCCCUGGAAGGGAGUGGGACGAAACCUGCCUGACCUGAAGCCACCUGUUGUCUGUCUUCUCUCUAGUAGCAGUAGGUGACCAUGAGUGGAUCCGAAAGCCGGACGGUGAAAAAACAGGAGAGAAAGAACAUCGAUUCUUUUGAAAUGUGGUGUCGGAGAAGGCUUCUGCGAAUACCGUGGACGGCCGAAAGGUAAAAUCCAAAUGGAUUUUGGAGCAAAUUAAACUGAACAGAACCAUUGGAAAGGUUGCGGAUUAUGGCAGAGGGACAGGACAUUCUGGAGAAAGUAUAUCCAUGAAGCCUCUAUGAAUCGGAAACGACUCGACACUUGAUAAUAAUAAUAAACUCUCCCAGGUGCUUAGUACAGUCCUCUGCACACAGUAAGCGCUCAGUCAAUACAACUGACUGACUUACUGACUGCUGGAUGGGAUAGACAGCCCUCACGGAUAAUCACCCAUCGAAAGCUCGGGGUUCAAAGCUAAGUGAUGCCUGGAUUCCAGAGGUUUCAGGGCCCUGGAGCUCCCUCUGCCAAGGAGGAAGGGAAAUUGGAGUCACUUGGUGCUUGGCCCUCUCGAUUAACUGAAAAGUGGGUGCCCUUGGUCCAUGAUGCCCCCGUGAGCUGAGGACCAGGAGGCUUCUGUGGCCCUGGGAGGAAGGGGCCACUAAGAAGGGCGCAGACAUUAUAAGCAUCACAUCGUGGGAAGUCUAUUAACCCCAGCCCCAGCCCCGGAGGGUGGCCCGCAUAGGCUCCCGGACCCGCUGCCAGCACAGGGCACAGCUCGGGAUUGGCCCUAUCGCCCCGGUUCCCCCAACGCUUUGAUAAUUUGGGGGCGCCCCCGGCCAUCCCCCAGGCCAUAAGGCUUCAAGGUGAUGGAUCGGGCCGGGAGGUGGCAAUCAAUACACCCUUGGAGGAGGGAUUAAGAGCCAUGAACUGUUACCAUGGAGACCGAGGGAUGCCAACGACCCGUUCAACGGCCAACGAGAAGCCACCGAACUCAACGGACGGCACGGGGACCGAGGAGGGUCGGCUCCCGUGGGGGCAUCUCGGGGAGGGCCGAGGGGAGCCGACCCUGUCAGUUAGGGGGCGCGAUUAUGCGGAUGAGAGGAUGCGUCGAAACCGCCCCCCCCCCCCCCCCCCCCCCCGGGUAAACGGGCUGAGCUCAAUCUCUGGCCCGGCGGGCGGCCGUGCGCUGAGCCCUCCCGGGAGGGGGUGAGAUUAAACCCGCCUGACUAGGA